CAAUAUGCUGAUGAGCCAGAACUAAAUGAUGACACUAAUACGGCUGUUAUGACUUUAAUACAAUCGUUUCCAGUCGUUACAGAGCAGGAAUUAAUGUCGAUGGAAGAAUGGCUAUCGAGUUCAGCUGAUAACAUACAUGCACUGAGUCAUUAACUGCGUUUAAUUGGAGGCACAGAUCUUCCCCAUGUAAUCAAAGCCAUUAUGUCGAGAGCAAUUUCAAAUGAAGUUGGAAUGCUAUAUUCCUGGGAGGGAGCUCGGCAAAAAAAAGCUUUUAAAUCGCUAAAGUUCGUCCAAGUGAUCAUUGGUGUUGUUCGACUGAACUCCAAGACAAAAU